UCUUCCAUAGCUCAGUGGUUAGAGCAUCCAACCGGUACCCUGGAAGGUCAUUGGUUCGACUCCCGUUGGGGGAC
rnacentral:tRNA from 1 species